rnacentral:lncRNA from 1 species
CCCAACAAAAAUUAAAUAAGACAACAAAAUUCAAUACAAAAAGCCCAACAGAAAGCCCACAAAAUUAAACAAAAAUAGAUAGGGCAACUCUCUCUCUUCUUUCUCAACCUCAACGGCGCGGCGCCUCUUUCUUCUUCUUCUUCUUCUCUGCAUAUGUUCCAGACCUCCAUAAUAACUCUCUCUUUCUCACUAUUUAAAUUACGCGCGUGUUGUGCAUGCAAACGCCUUUCUUCACCUCCGUGCCCGGCACCCAGCACGAACACCCAGCCUCCACAGCGCGACGCACAGGCGGCGUGCUGGCUCGGUCCGACACGCAAAAGAGAGCUCUGCAGAGCUCUUCGACCGAGCCCAACUUUGGUUGUUUAAUUUUGGAUAGGGGUGUUUACGAUUUGAUUUGGUGUGAUUUGACACUAAAAUUAAAUCAAAUUAUAAAACACGAUUUAAU